rnacentral:miRNA from 1 species
ACCUUAGAGACCAACUAAGUUUGUUCUGGGUAUAAGCUUUUAGGUAUCUGAAGAAGUGUGCAUGCACACAAAAGCUUAUACCCAGAACAAACUUAGUUGGUCUCUAAGGU